rnacentral:rRNA from 1 species
AUGAACGCUGGCGGCGUGCCUAAUACAUGCAAGUCGAGCGAACGGACGAGAAGCUUGCUUCUCUGAUGUUAGCGGCGGACGGGUGAGUAACACGUGGAUAACCUACCUAUAAGACUGGGAUAACUUCGGGAAACCGGAGCUAAUACCGGAUGAUAUUUUGAACCGCAUGGUUCAAAAGUGAAAGACGGUCUUGCUGUCACUUAUAGAUGGAUCCGCGCUGCAUUAGCUAGUUGGUAAGGUAACGGCUUACCAAGGCAACGAUGCAUAGCCGACCUGAGAGGGUGAUCGGCCACACUGGAACUGAGACACGGUCCAGACUCCUACGGGAGGCAGCAGUAGGGAUUCUUCCGCAAUGGGCGAAAGCCUGACGGAGCAACGCCGCGUGAGUGAUGAAGGUCUUCGGAUCGUAAAACUCUGUUAUUAGGGAAGAACAUAUGUGUAAGUAACUGUGCACAUCUUGACGGUACCUAAUCAGAAAGCCACGGCUAACUACGUG